AUUGAACGCUGGCGGCAGGCCUAACACAUGCAAGUCGAACGAGUCGCGGACGGGUGUGUAAUGUCGGGGAAACUGCCUGUUGGAGGGGGAUAACUACUGGAAACGGUAGCUAAUACCGCAUACCAUCGGAUGUCUCCAGAUGGUAUUAGAUAGUAGGUGGGGCAAAGGCUCACCUAGGCGACGAUGCCUAGUUGGUCUGAGAGUAUGACCAGCCACACUGGGACCUGGACAAGGUUCAAACUCCUGAGUGAGGCAGCAGUGAGGAAGAUUGCACAAUGGGCGCAAGCCUGUUGCAGCCAAGCCGCGUGUCUGAAGAAGGCCUUCGGGUUGUAAAGUACUUUCAGCGGGGAAGCGUUACCCGCAGAAGAAGCACCGGCUAACUCCGUGCCAGCAGCCGCGGUAAUAC
rnacentral:rRNA from 1 species